UAGGAAUAUUGGACAAUGGGUGAGAGCCUGAUCCAGCCAUGCCGCGUGCAGGAAGAAGGCGUUAUGCGUUGUAAACUGCUUUUUGCCAGGGGAAUAAAAAGACCGUGCGCGGUUAAUUGAAGGUACCUGGUGAAUAAGCCACGGCUAACUACGUGCCAGCAGCCGCGGUAAUACGUAGGUGGCAAGCGUUGUCCGGAUUUAUUGGGUUUAAAGGGUGCGUAGGUGGCCCUGUAAGUCAGUGGUGAAAUAUCUCAGCUUAACUGAGAGGGUGCCAUUGAUACUGCAGGGCUUGAGUACAGAUGAGGUAGGCGGAAUUGACGGUGUAGCGGUGAAAUGCAUAGAUAUCGUCAAGAACACCGAUAGCGAAGGCAGCUUACCAAGCUGUAACUGACACUGAGGCACGAAAGUGUGGGGAUCAAACAGGAUUAGAUACCCAUGUAGUCCCUGAGCGGGCUGGCAAGGCGCAU
rnacentral:rRNA from 1 species